GCCGUGCGGGGCGGGAGGUGCGGGGUCUGCGGGAGGCAGCGGGGCUUUCCCCGCCGCCGGCGUUUAACCUUCAGCGAGCCCGGCGGGUGCCGACCCCCCUCGGGCUGGGGAUGCUGCUGCCGCUCGCAGCCCCGCACUCGGCUCCUGGCAGCGGCUCGGCGUGGGCAGGGAGGGGGCGGCCCCGGGGCUGCGGGUCUGGGGGUCACGGUGGCCCCCACACCCCUCGGGCUAGCCCGGGCGGAGGAGCGGGGGCAGCAGCAAACUCUCCAUGGGGUUGAGGGGGGCAACGGGGCACCCCCGGCAGGUGCUGGCUGCAAAGGGGGGUGUCCGGUGGUGGGUCCGCGGGCAGCGCAGCGGGGCAGAGCCCAGCCCACCUGCCUGCAGGUUCCCCCCCCCCGCAGCGGGGCCGGCUGCCCCCUCCCCUGGGAGCCGGGGUGCCCUCGGUCACGCAAAGUGGGGACGCCCCACGCCGGUGGGAUGGGGCAGGAAGGGAACCCCAACUCCUGAGCGCCUUGGCGUCGUAUUUUGGACAUGCACGGGGGGAAACGCUGACCACCGCGGCCGGGUGCACCAGGGCUCCACGUGCUCGCAGCCCCGAAACGGGCAAUGCCCACAGGUUAAGGGGUGGCAGGACAGGGGCUGGGGUGCUCCCCCAGGCACCCUCUGCCAGCGGUCCCCUUGCACCCACCUCCCUCCUCCUCGCUGGGCCUCUUGGUAUUUUUUUAAGCCGCUCAGCGGCUGAAGUGGCUGCUGCAGUGGGUUUGUCGGGGAUGGAUGAGCUGGGGGGAGCCGGUUGGGGGGGGGCAGCGCUGAAUAGUAAAACUUGGAAAGGCCCCUGCAAGGCAGCGACUGCAGAGCAUGGCCGGGCACGCAGCGCUGGGGGGAGCGGGGAAAAAAGAUGCUUCCUUUUAUAGACAGACUGGGGCUGUUGGGUGCCGUGCAAGUGCAUGGGUGCUACCACGGCCGGCCCUGGCAGCCCCCCCGGCUCCUCCGUCUCCCCCUUGCAAGGCCAUUUGCCCCCGGUGACCACAAGCCACCCUGCCCAGGGCAGGGAGCUGCUCUCAGGGCAGGCGGGGGACCCAGAGGCUGCCCAGGUCAGGGGGUCCCAGCCAGUGUGGGGGCAUGGAGGAGCUGUGGGAGAGGGGCUGCCCCAGGGCAGAGCUCCCUGCACUGCAGGCAGGGAGAAGCUUCAGCUCGGGGACGCGUCUGCAGCCGUCAAGGGCAGCGCCAAGGCUGGGGAGGGUGGGGGCUGCCAGCGGUGGAGCACCCCCAGGUCUGCAGAGGGGCUUGCACUGAUGACCCGGAAUGUCCGGGCACAGAGAGGGCAGUGGAACAGGCAUGGGCCGUGGGGCAGGGCUGGGACAAGGAAGGGUGUUGGGAAUGAGCAGGGGUGGCCCAGGAUGGGAUCAGGUGAGACUGGGCACCCCGGAUGCAGUGACCAUCCCACGGUGCUGCGUGCGGCCCUCCAAGGUCACUGGGAGAGCCCGGCUAGGGCUGCGGGGACCGUGCCAUGGGAUGGGGCUGUGUGGGACCCCCAGACUGGGGUACCUCUAGCACCGCAGCCCUGGGAGGCUGCCCAAGGUCAGCUGAGGUGGCUGGAGCUGAACCUGACCCUGCUCCCUGGCUCCAGGGGGUUGGGGUGGGCACAGCCACCAGCUUUCGGCUCCCGGUGCACCCCAACAGCUUCACCGACCCCUGGGAUCCCCUGCACCCCUACGGCAAAACUGUGCAGCAGCAUCCUCCUGUGCUGCGGGGCCAGCAGAGCCCGAAGGGUUAAGUGGGUGCAUCUCUGCAGCCUCUGGCCUCUGGCCACCCACUCCAUCUGCUUUUGGGGGGGCACAGGGAUGCUGGUCUAGCCAAACAUGCUCUGCCCCACCGCUGCUGCCAGGCUGGGUACUUGGGUCCUGGGAGCUGUGUCUCUGGGGUCCCCAGCGCCAUGUCCCUGAGCACUGGUCGUGUGGGAGGUCCCGGGGUGCUGGUGGAGCAUCCUGGGGGGACCGUGGCCAUGCUGGCAGCAACCCUGCGCCCCGAGGCGAUGGUUGGCGGCUCCGGGGGUCACCGAGCAGGGUCUCUGCUGCCUGUGGGUGCCACAAGCAGGGCCGGCGCGGUGAGCGUGUACUUGGCACCCACCGGUUCCUUGCAGAGAGCUGCAGCGUGUGUGGCCACAGCUCCCGGCGCUGAGUCACGUCCACGCCUGGCCUGGCCAGCCCCGCGUCCCUCCUGCCUGCAGCCUGGCCCCCCGCGCAUCCCUCACUCCCCCAAGGAGGGGGCAGUGCUGGGAACGGCUCCCUGCACCCACCGCUGCUCUGCUCCACGUCUGAGUUUAGGGGUAGGAAGGUCACUGGGGUCGAGGCACAGAUGGGCUGUGGCGACGCUCGCCCCCUCCAUCGUCCUGCGCUGGCCGUGCCGUGCCGGGGCCGGGGAGUCCCCCCACACCCCCCUUACGGUCUCCACCCCCUGAGAUCUCAGCUGAACCCCCUCCCGUGGGCAAAGGCGCCUCUGGCCUCCCCUGCCCAGAGCUGCGGGGUGGGGAGGGCCUGGACCCCAGGUCCUUCUCCCAGCCUUCCAAACGAGCCAGGCGGGGAGGGUGGGGGUGCAGGAGGUGGGUGCCCCCAGUGCCGGCCCCAGCUGCACCGAGCUGCAACCCCUGCUUUGGCACACGGGCUGCAGCAGAGAGGGGGAUGGGUGCUGCAGGGUGGUGCUGGGGUGCUCCAGGGUGCUGGGGCAAUGCAGGGUGCCGGCGGGGUGCAGCUGGUGCAUCCUGGGUCGAUGGGGGACCCCCUCGUGCAGAAAUGGCUCCUAGCGCAGGCACCCACCUCCGCCGUCCGUGUGGGCUCACGGGACACGGCACUUGGCCAUGUCCUCAGAGGUGCAGUCCCCCACGGUGCCCCACGGCCCAAACUGCUGAGCCUCGGCUGCGUCCCGGGGCGUCCCACCGCCCACGAAGGGCAGCCACCGGCCAAACUGCCAAGCGGUGGGUGCGUUGCCAGCCUGAGCACCCUGCGGUGGGUGCAGAGGCUCUGCAUCCCAGACACACACGUUGGCCACGGCACCGUCUCGCUCUCCAGCCCCUUGCUCCGGGGUGGCUGCGGGCACUACGGGGCUGUACGGGCAGUGCCACAGCCAGGGAUACACCUGGGGCUGGGCGCAAGCAGGGGCUGGAUCCAGGGGUGGGCAGGAUGUGCUCCGCACAGCCCCUGCCCAGCCUCAGGCUUCACCGCGGCCGCCGGCUCCUUCCAGGGUCCCACCACCCAGAGCUGGUGGGUGCUGCCAGGAGCGGCUGGUGUCCCCGUGCCCCAUGUGCCCAGCGCCACGCUGCCUGCCUCUCCCUCCCAACCCUACAUACUUCUUCAUAUGCCCAUAUGGAGUCGGCUGGCGUUAUGGAAUGUUAAGAAGUAUGUAUUUUUGGGCUGGGACCCCCACGCCGGGAACCCCCCUCCACACCAGCACUGGCCCAGGCGGCGCAUCCGGAGAGACGGUGCGUCCCUGGGGCUGGUAAAAAGGAACCAGAUCAACUUGCAACUGGAUUUGGUCCCCUUCAACCAGCUGCAGCGGCGCAUACACGGCGGCACCCACUGCGCCCUGGCCCCGAGGGGCUGCGCCGGGUGGGCUGGCUGCGUCCUGCCCCGAGGGGGCUCGGGGUGAGAAGCUGGCGCAAGGAGCGGGGGAAAGGGGGGUUUGCAAAGUGGGGCUUUGGCCGGUUUUUGAGGCUGCCCGGUGGAGGGGAGGCAGCCAGAGGGGCUGCACCUCCACUGCCAGCCCGCGGAAAUCUCUGCGCUGCCCAGACCGCCCGCGCUGCCCGUAGUCCUUGUCAAAAACGGUGGAGCUUCACCAGCCCUGAACUGUCGGGAAAUGCCCCGUAAAGCCCCAGCUGCUGCAGCAACACCCCACACACCCCCCCCACCCCCCCCCCCCCCGCCCGGCGCAUCCUCCCCGCCGCAGCCCUGGCACCUCCUGUCCCCGCAUCCCCAUGGGAGGGUUGGGGGGGGGGACAGGGGUCCCCGUGGGGAGCAGCCCUGAGGUCCAACCCCCCGGGACGGGCGACCCCACGCCCCGCUGCCCGGCUGCCUCCUGUGCCGGCAGAGCCAGGCGCACCAAGGGUAAACACCGACAUGGACCAAGAAUUUGGGGAAAACGAAACUCAGCGGAGCAGUUUCUUGGAAAUCUGCUGUGCUGACAUCACCUGAGGCCCCGGCUACCAGCGGCAAGCGUGCUCCAGCAGCACUGAGCUCUUGGUGGGCAACAGACAGGACCAGGCUCAGACCGGACCCGUCACACAUCUCACUCCAGCGGCUGCCCCCCCUGCCAGGCCAGGCCACCAUGC